GACAGCCACCGCUUUAGUCGGAGGAGCUCCGACGACGAAUGUUUUGAGGAUAACCAUGAGCCGAGGCAAAAAUCCCCGAUUAGCAAGGAGCGUUUGCUGAUUGUCGCAAGAUGGCGGGAGCUGUGGAGGAGAAUCUUUACGGAGAAGAGGAAGAUCUUCAACUCAACGACAUCGAUGGAAGUUGGAUAUGAUGAAUACACUUAUGCACAGAAUUUCGAUGAAGGGACAGCCUGGGUCGAGGACGAUAACUUGUGC
rnacentral:misc_RNA from 1 species